UAGACACCCCUUUGGAGCAAGAUUUGCUUCAGUGGGGCUUUGGUGCUCACUGAGUCUUCCCCUUGAGUGUGUUUUU
rnacentral:pre_miRNA from 1 species